CGCGGUGUUGUCGGUGGCGAAGACCUCCGCCGUCGCGUCGCAGGCGGGGCCCGCGGGCCCCGCCUGCGCGGUUCCGGUACCCGCCGCCGCGACCA
rnacentral:tRNA from 1 species